GUUCAUAUGGGGAACUAUGGGAGUCUAUGGGGAGGGAUUUGAGGUCUAUAUGGGGUCUAUGGGGUCGGAUUUGGGGUCUAUAUGGGGUCUAUGGGGUGGGAUUUGAGGUCUAUAUGGGAUCCUGGGGUCUAUGGGGUGGGAUUCGGGGUCCAUAUGGGGAACUAGGGGAGUCUAUGGGGUGGGAUUUGAGGUCUAUAUGGGGUCUAUGGGGUGGGAUUUGAGCUCUAUAUGGGGUCUAUGGGGUCGGAUUUGGGGUCUAUACGGGAUCUAUACAGGAUUUAGGGUCUAUGGGGAGGGCUUUGGGGUCUAUAUGGGGUGUAUGGGGUGGGAUUUGAGGUCUAUAUGGGGUCUAUGGGGUGGGAUUUGAGGUCUAUACGGGGUCUAUGGGGUCGGAUUUGGGGUCUAUAUGGGAUCUAUACGGGAUUUGGGGUCUAUGGGGAGGGCUUUGGGGUCUAUAUGGGGUGUAUGGGGUGGGAUUUGAGGUCUAUAUGGGGUGUAUGGGGUGGGAUUUGGGGUCUAUAUGGGGUCUAUGGGGUGGGAUUUGAGGUCUAUAUGGGAUCCUGGGGUCUAUGGGGUGGGAUUUGAGGUCUAUAUGGGGUCUAUGGGGUGGGAUUUGGGGUCUAUAUGGGAUCUAUACGGGAUUUGGGGUCUAUGGGGAGGGCUUUGGGGUCUAUAUGGGGUGUAUGGGGUGGGAUUUGAGGUCUAUAUGGGGUCUAUGGGGUGGGAUUUGGGGUCUAUAUGGGGUCUAUGGGGUGGGAUUUGAGGUCUAUAUGGGAUCCUGGGGUCUAUGGGGUGGGCUUUGGGGUCUAUAUGGGGUCUAUGGGGUCGGAUUUGGGGUCUAUACGGGAUCUAUACGGGAUUUGGGGUCUAUGGGUUUGGAUUUGGGGUCUAUAUGGGGUGUAUGGGGUGGGAUUUGAGGUCUAUAUGGG
ensembl:lncRNA